GAUGAACGCUGGCGGCGUGCCUAAUACAUGCAAGUCGAGCGAACAGACGAGGAGCUUGCUCCUCUGACGUUAGCGGCGGACGGGUGAGUAACACGUGGAUAACCUACCUAUAAGACUGGGAUAACUUCGGGAAACCGGAGCUAAUACCGGAUAAUAUAUUGAACCGCAUGGUUCAAUAGUGAAAGACGGUUUUGCUGUCACUUAUAGAUGGAUCCGCGCCGCAUUAGCUAGUUGGUAAGGUAACGGCUUACCAAGGCAACGAUGCGUAGCCGACCUGAGAGGGUGCUCGGCCACACUGGAACUGAGACACGGUCCAGUCUCCUACGGGAGGCAGCAGUAGGGAAUCUUCCGCAAUGGGCGAAAGCCUGACGGAGCAACGCCGCGUGAGUGAUGAAGGUCUUCGGAUCGUAAAACUCUGUUAUUAGGGAAGAACAAAUGUGUAAGUAACUAUGCACGUCUUGACGGUACCUAAUCAGAAAGCCACGGCUAACUACGUG
rnacentral:rRNA from 1 species